AUGCGCAAGGUGUGCCCAAAUUUUCAUGCUCUUUCGACACUCGAGGAGCUCGUGGCAAAAAAAAUAUCUACAUGCUUUUUUGAUUUUGUUUUGAUAUUUUUUAAUUUACUACUCAUCAGGCAGAUAUUUUUUUUCCCACGAGCUCCUCGAGUGUCGAAAGAGCACAAAAAUUUGGGCGCACCUUGCGCAUGUAAGCAUAUUGAACCCCAAAAAAAGUCAGAUUUUUUUGAAGUUUGUUUGAAAAAAUUUGCAUUUACUGUUCAUUGGGCGGUUUUGACCCGGUCAACGCCCUCAAAAUCUGGUUUAAGACCAAACUUGUCCGGUUUUGAAACUUGA
rnacentral:rRNA from 1 species